GGAAAGACCGGUUCUAGGACCACAGGAAAGGACCUCUGCUCCCUAUAAUAAGCUCCUUGGGAAGCUUAUAGAGAAUGUGACGGACACACGGAUUCCCCCGACGGUGAAGGGAAAGCGCGGCCCCGUGACGUGGGUGAAGUUGUUCCUUUGCUAGGUAUUUAGUUGACUUGCUCCUGUACAAAUGUCGCCCCGGCAGGUCUCGUGCCAGGUGCCCGGGGUCGGGGCCCUGCCUGCACAGAGCUCUCGGCCUUGCCCACCUUCUAGCGAGGACCCACGCGAGCCGGCCGUCACCAUGAAGCACCAUAAAGGCUGUGCGAUUCCCAGAAGCCUGCCCCCAGAAAUUCCAUCUCAGCAUAUGCCCUGGCCUCACCACGUCGUCAGUGCUGAGACGUGUUGACAACACGAAGAAUUUCCACCCACGGAGACUUGUG
rnacentral:lncRNA from 12 species